rnacentral:lncRNA from 1 species
AAUAAGCCCACCUUCUUUCCCGUCGCCACCCCGGAGACGCCCAUCGGGCUGAGCUGCGAAUAACUAAGAGAGAGGCCAAGCCAAGUCGUGGCGUUUGUGGCAGCCCCGGACACGGGCACCAGCCAGUCAGCGGAGCCUCCUCACCUCCGUUGCCAGCGAAGGCGCUCGUUAGGCCUUGGGAAGAGGCGACCGGAGGCGAUGCCCGCGAAUUUGUUAGGGGGGUAAGCGGCGGGUGAGGUCCUCGAGGGCGGUCCCGUUUGCUGAUUGAGCGGUAGAGGGAGGCGAUGUUCGCUGACCCAACAAGGACAGCAGGUGGAGUAGGCACAGACGGAAAACUGCUGCCGGUGCCCUGGCAGGGGAGAGACCGUGGUCACGAAGGGGGUUCUCCCAGAGUGAAGCUUCUUCAUCUCACUCUAGAGUUGCUGAUCCCUGUGAUUUCCAUGAGAGACGUCGGGGAGUUCAGCUUCCCUUGGGCCCUACUUGGCUCAGGCUGGGGUCGCAGAUCCAGGCAUUUCCAGAGGCACUGGCUUCUGAAGCAGGCGAGGGUGAACGCAGGGUGAAGGCCAUUCGGCCGCCCUUCUGGCUUCAGAGUCACGCAAUGCACGCGUUUCUAACGUGCAACAACACGAUUAGUCGACUCAGCCUCUCCGGUUUUCUGAAGCUUUGUAGUCUGCACAGUUGUCCCGCAGAAAG